rnacentral:rRNA from 1 species
GGCGAACGGGUGAGUAAUACAUCGGAACGUGCCCAGUCGUGGGGGAUAACUACUCGAAAGAGUAGCUAAUACCGCAUACGAUCUGAGGAUGAAAGCGGGGGACCUUCGGGCCUCGCGCGAUUGGAGCGGCCGAUGGCAGAUUAGGUAGUUGGUGGGAUAAAAGCUUACCAAGCCGACGAUCUGUAGCUGGUCUGAGAGGACGACCAGCCACACUGGGACUGAGACACGGCCCAGACUCCUACGGGAGGCAGCAGUGGGGAAUUUUGGACAAUGGGCGAAAGCCUGAUCCAGCAAUGCCGCGUGCAGGAUGAAGGCCUUCGGGUUGUAAACUGCUUUUGUACGGAACGAAAAAGCUUCUCCUAAUACGAGAGGCCCAUGACGGUACCGUAAGAAUAAGCACCGGCUAACUACGUGCCAGCAGCCGCGGUAAUACGUAGGGUGCGAGCGUUAAUCGGAAUUACUGGGCGUAAAGCGUGCGCAGGCGGUUAUGUAAGACAGAUGUGAAAUCCCCGGGCUCAACCUGGGAACUGCAUUUGUGACUGCAUGGCUAGAGUACGGUAGAGGGGGAUGGAAUUCCGCGUGUAGCAGUGAAAUGCGUAGAUAUGCGGAGGAACACCGAUGGCGAAGGCAAUCCUCUGGACCUGUACUGACGCUCAUGCACGAAGCGUGGGGAGCAA